UUUUAAAAUAUACUUUUCUGUUAAUUACACUUUGGGACAUUGAAGGGGCUAGGAGAUAGAACUGGAUAGAAAGUACUACACUACUCAUUUACCCCCAUGCUACAACA
ensembl:snoRNA